AGACGAUCCGCUUCUGCUUUCCACAGCCAUGUCUAUCUGCCUGUGCCUGAGGUCUGACGUGAUCAGAGGUAAUCUUUCUGAAAUACCGUACCGGUACCGUACGGGUAAAAAUCGAACAAUAUCUUAUGGCCAUGUACAAUCCCCGCUCUAACACUUAGAAUAAAUGAAGUUAAUGAUCAGAAAAAUAUCCACCGUCCAGCAGUACGAUCUCGAAAUACAGCUAACAAAGUUAGCCCAGUGCGCGUGCAUGCACCGCGCCGUACCGUACGUACCGACGCGACGCGAUCGACGGCGUGCUUUCGGCGCGUGUAUCGGGGAUACGGUGCUGUACAUGUAGCUAAGUUUGAGACUCCGACUCCGUCAUCGACUUUGGUCUUAUGAAUCCUUUUCUUGCCUGAAACGAAACGUGUGAUAUAUCUUCAAGCCAUCAGCAGUGACAUACAACACUUGAUGCAAAACAGUUGAUUCAACAAUGGCAGACCUGACUAUAGAGGACCGAUCACAGGAACAAGCUGCCAGGUCGUUUCUUCGUCGGAGAUUCCUGCACUUCCUUAUAGCUGUUUCAAAGCAAGAGAUGGACUUUACCAUGCAUGAGCAUACUAAUGUUUCUGGAGAAUUUGGUAUGAUGGACAUCAAUGUUCAACAGGUACAGGUUUCCAAUCUUAAGACACCCAUUGGGGUACAGAAAGAAGCCAUUCUUAGAGCAACUGACAUUGUGGCAUUUACUCUUCAAGCUCCAUUGGUUCAAGUUCCGGAGAGUUGACAGCAAAUCAAUCUACUGUUGACAAUAGUUAAAUAGAGCUUGAUGUUGUAAGUACAUUUAGCCGGAUUGAGGACUGAGGAGAAAAGAGUUCUCAGAAGAAUUGAUGGCACAUGGAGAAUGGGAAAUUGAUUUGAAUCAGGGAUCUUGACCCAUUAAACAUUUAUCAGCUCUCAUCUACUCCUUCCAAACUCUUUAAGGGUAAACUAUCAACUCUGCAUGGGGUUUAUUUAUCAUCCAGGCUAUGUGAUUUUCAACAAGGUAGAGAGCAUAGAAGGCUUGUGAUCUGAACAGGGUCCUGUUGCAUUACUACUUUGCUAUUUGAUAGUAUAGAGUCCUCAGUUUUGAUUGGCUGUUGAUCAUCAGUUACCAUUGGAUGGCAAAGUUGCCGUAAUAGUAACAUUUAUGCAACGGGCCCAGGAUAGAGUAUUGAUUUAUGUCUAUUUAUCGUGUCUGAGAAAUUGCGGAAUGGUGGAAGGGGAGAUAUAUCCCCCUCCACUUUACAAGGAGGGGGAUAAAUGUCUGCCCUUUUCGAGAAAGGAAUUAGAUAUUUUUUUGUAUUUAUAUCACCAAGUAAAUGACAUUUAGAUAGUCAUAUGGAUUCCUCUUUGAAUGCAAUGCUUGAAUUAUUUCAAUUUUGCAUUGAAAAUGCAAUGACUCUUGUUCAGUCACCAUGCUUCCUCCAUUUCAUUUUGCACAUCAACAUGAAAAUAUUUCUGUCCUGCCACAUUCUUUUGUAAGGCUUUUUUAAAGAAAUAGAUUACAUUAACUGAUUCAUGUCAGUAUGAUUACAAUUGUUCUUUUUUUAUUUUUACAAGUUGUAAGAUCCUUUUUUUAUCUAGGAUUAUUCAAAUUCUUCCUUAUUUAGGCUUUUUAUUGCAUCAAAGCAGUGUCCUCUUUCUAAGUCCUGUUUCCUUUUUACAUUCAAAUGAAUUGCCUCUUUCUAUUUUUACCUCUGAAAACCUCUUCUCUUACAUGUACAUUAGAACAAUCCAGCCUACCUGUACCUGUUUUAGUAAUGUACCCCGUAUUGUGAAGUAAUAUUUUUGUAUAUCUGAUGCUUAUAGUGCCCUGUAGCUCAUUUAAAGACACCCUUAUUCUUGGUGAUAAGUACCACUAUUCUUUUAAAAGCAACAAAACUCUUCCAUUUUCACCUCUCCUGUGAUCAGUCAGGAGUGCCAAUUGCUCAUUUCAAUUUGCCUCAAUUUUGUUCCUUUUUAUAAGUCUAAUUUCUGUUCUUGAUCAGUGCCUGGUUUGUACAUUAUAGCCCUGGGGAGCGUUUCAUGAAAGGACUUGUCAGACGUUUUGUUUUGUUUUUUCUGACAAGUCCUGUUUUAUCUGACAGUUACCACAGUAACAGUGCUUCUCAUCAGCCAAUCAAAAUCAAGGGAAGUUGUCAGAUCUUACAACUUGGCUGACAAAAAUGUUGAUGAAACGCUUCCAUGACUAAAUGCAACUUUUAAAAGGAUUGCUUGUUUUGCUCUUGUGCAAUGAUAUAGGAAACAAAUUGUAAGAGGCCUUUAUAAUUUCUCAUAUAUUAUGUUUUAAAUGUAUUGGACUUAUCAAUCCGUGAAUGACUGUAGUUUGUUGUGAUUGUGCUAAGUAUUUUCCCAGAGUAACUACACCUACACUGUAUGGAUCUUACUGGGAGAUGACCUACUGAAUUAUCGUGGGAACUUCCAUGUAAUAUCUCAAUGGUGUGGUGACUUAUAACUUUCUAUUGAAUUCAUUUCCUUGUGAAUUAUACUUGUAGUACUUUGAAUGUUUCAAAUUGUCUUGUCCUGUAACAUUGUUAUUAAAGCAUUUCAAAUUUUGAAAAUAGUACAAAGAUGUUUAGUGAGAUUUUUUUUGUUUCCAGGUAAUGUUUUGGACAUGUGACUAAUCCUAUUAUUAGUACAUGCAACACUAUGUAUACAUUACAAAGUAAAUUUAUGCUCAUGGACUUGGCCCGUAAAAUUAUUUUCACUUCAGAUGACUUUACUUAAAAGAGAUCAAGUGCCGUCUUACAUACAGUGUUGUGAAAGAUUCAAGUCAACUAAACUUAUUUUGAGAUUGAUCUCAAAUUAAAUAAUAAAGAUAUAGUAACUGGGA